GAGGACUGAAAGGAGUGGUUGCAUCAGGUCUCCCCCACCCUUCUGCCUCCUGCGGUUGCGGCUUUAUUGUGGCCUCUGCUCCCCUGACACCUGCAUUUCACUUAGCGGGAGAGGCGGUGGCCAACUCAGCACAGGCUGCGGACUCAGCGUGGUGACAGAUCCCUCAAGCUAGAAGACUUCUGUUAGGAGAAGCGUUAUCCUGUCAGUUGAUUACCCUGAGUUAUUAUUAUUGCUGUUUGACAGAUGAAAAACUGACAUGGAGAAAAGUUAGACAAUUCCUCCAAAUCACAAAGAUAGUAAGUUGAAAACUUGUGAAAAGAACUCUGCUAUGUCAUAUUUCAAAGUCUAUGACCUCCCCUAUAUGGUACCUUCACUGAUGCUAUUGAAUUUAAAGCAAAUAAAGGAAAUGAAGCACAGCCCAAGUGUUGAUUGGUGGGAAGAAUAAAACAGUCAGAGUAAAUCUCACAUUGAAUGAACCUCCAGUGUUGUGUUGUUAGUUAGAAUUAAAGUCAUUCUCUAGAGUGUAACUUAAGACAGUAUGUCAUUUAAGGGUCAAGAAAUAGUCUGUUUACUCAGCAUUUAUCAGUCCUUUCUUUCCAAACUUUAAGCUAGCUAUAGAAAAAUUCCAGAGAGCCUGGGGAAAGAAACAAAAGGAAAAUUAGGGAAAAGACUUACAAGGUAUGAAGUAUUAGAGAACAUUUUAAAAGGAUAAUCUAUACGCUAUGUCAUUGAUGGCUGCAGCCAUUCUCUAUGCCCAUAAACUAAAUGGGCCUAACUCUUAACAGUGGCUAUUAGGUUAGUUAGAAGAGGCAUGUUUCUGAAAAUUCCAUAGUGAACUUCAUAGCCAGAGGAAAAUAUCUUAUACUUCUUUCUAUUCAAUCAUCCUUGACUCCGAAAGUGCCUCUUAUUUUCUUUUGGUGGAACAGUGGAAAAAAAAUAUCACACUGGAAGGCCAAUUGACUGAAAUCAAGUCCCUUUUCCUAACUGUGUGAACUGGGUCCUUCACAUCACUAUCCUUCAACAACAAGAAAAACAAAAAACAUCCUAUAAAUGUAUAAAGAAGAAAAUGAAAGUUCUUUCUUUGCUACCCCUAGUUCUCUUCCCCUUCCUAGAGGCUAAACUAUUUUGUGUGCAUGUGUGUGUGUGUGUAGAAUGUACACAUAUAUGUAGGGGAUUGGUUCUAGGACUCUGUCCCCUGUGAAUACCAAAAUUCAGGGACGCCUAAGUUCCUUAUAUAAAAUGAUGCUUAUAACCUACGCACAUCCUCCUGUAUACUUUAAAUAAUCUUGAUUACUUAUAAUAUCUAAAACAGUGUAAAUGCUAUGUAAAUAGUUGUUAUACUGUAUUGUUUAGGAAAUAAUGACAAGAAAAAAGUCUGCACAUGGUCAGAACAGAUUCAACCAUUCUUUUUUUAUAUAUUUUUUUCUGAAUAAUUACAAUCCAUGGUUUGUUGAAUCCACAGAUGCAGAACUGGUGGAUAUGGAGGGCUGACUGUAUACAUGUAUCUUCCCCAUAUAAAUAGAACAAUAUUUUAUAUACUGUUCUUCAAAUGGCAUUUUCCCUUUGAAGCUCUUUUCAAAUAUGUAAAAAUCUAUUUUUAAAAACUGCUGCACAGUAGCUCAUAGAAUGAAUCUACCAUAUUUCCUUUACUCUUUCCCCUCUUGGUGGUCCUUUAGGUGGUGUUUGGUUUUUUUCUAUUAUAAAUAGUGUGCAAUGACCAUGCUUGUAAGUGCUUCUAUACUCAUAUAUGUUUCUCUGAGCACAGAUGCCUAGAUCUAGAAGCCAAACAGAUGGGUUGAAGGUGAUACCUAAUUUUAACAUUUGAUGACUCCUGCCAAAUUACCCUCUGAAAAGAAUUUAACAAUUUAUAUUCCUUCCACAUCAUUGCCUCUUUCCCCACAUCAUAAUGUAAGUCUUCUUAUUUUUUACUCACCAAAGGGAGAGAAAUAUUUACUGUUUAAAACUGAGCACCUUUUAAACUGCUUUUCUUUCUUUAUUGGCUUAACUCUUCAAGAUGUGUCUUUUUUCUGAUUGGACUAUUGUUUUUAUCUUUACUGGCUUUUAGAAGCUCUUUAUAUAAUCUGGAUAAUAAGCUUUCGUCAUCAAUAUAUGUUGCAGAUAUUUCCUCUCAGUGUGUCAUCAGAUUUUGUAUUUAUGUCUAUUUAUUAUGUCUGUGACCAUACAAAUUAUUAAAUUUCUUAUAAGGUUAGGCUAAGCUUCUUUCUUUAUGAGUUAAUGGGGGUUGUCUGUCUUAGAAAGGAUCUCUCAUUCCAAACCUUAAAACUAUUCUCCUAAUAAUUUUAGAUUUGUUCAACUGAGAGAGUGCUUAACUCAGGAGAUCAAUAAAGGUUCAUAGAGGAAGAAGUAUUUGAAAUUGUCCUGGAAGAACAAUAUUUUUCAACAGGCAGAGAUGGAGAAAGGACAAUCUACAUGAACAGAACAGCAUGAGCAAAAAGAACUGGUGUUGUACCAGUAUAUACUUCUGCCAGUAAUAGAUGGGUGGGCUGCUGAUGCCUCAAAAUGUAAGUAUUUUCAAACUUUUAAAUUUUAGCCCAUUUAACAUAAUUUAAAAAUUAUGUCUCUGUGUGAUUUUAGUUCCAUUUCCCUUAUUAUAUAUAAGACUGAACAUCUUGGCAUAUGUUUAAGGGCCAUCUGCAUUUCCUUUUCUGUGCACUGUCAGCUUAUAUGCUUUGCCCAUUUUUUCUAGUAGAUGGUUAGUGUUUUUCUUAUUGAUUUGUAUAUAUUCUGUAUUACUCCUUUAUCACAUUGCCACAAAGAAAUGCCUGAGAUGGUGUCAUUUAUAGAGAAAAGAGGUUUAAUUGGCUCACAGUUCCACAGGCUAUACAGGAAGCAUGGCUGAGGAGGCCUC
rnacentral:lncRNA from 1 species